rnacentral:tRNA from 1 species
GGGGCUAUAGCUCAGCUGGGAGGAGCGCCUGCUUUGCACGCAGGAGGUCUGCGGUUCGAUCCCGCAUAGCUCCACCA